rnacentral:lncRNA from 1 species
GUAUUCCCAGGAAAGUCCCAUACUUUCCUGAAUGUUAAUUAUUGUAAAAGAUGUAAUGUUAUUCAGUUGGUUACACUUUUCUGGUUAUGUAUACGUUACCCNUGUUACCUAGGAAUGCCCCAUGCUUUCCUGUAUGUUGGUUUUCAAUGUGAAAGAUGUAUUAUGUUAAACCUGGUUAUGUACAAAGUUUCCCUAGGAAGGUCCCAUACCUUCCUGAAUGUUGGUUAUCAUAUGUAAAAGAUGUAAAAGAUGUGAAAGAUGUAAACUGAAUCCUGGUUAUCUGUAAAAUGUAGUAAGUGGUUCAUUAUUACUAUAAGUAAAUCUCUGUUAUCCUAGUUGCGAGUUCCAUAACCAUACUAAAGACUGAACCUGUGGCAAUAAGUAGUCCACAACCUUGUGGCAAUAAGUAGUCCACAAUCCUUAUGACUUUCGUCACCCUUGAACCAUUUCGGUUCGGCUGUAGCUAGCAGCCAGGUGUGGGGUAGUCAGCCCCGUAUAGAUCUAUACACUCAAGUCACGCUCUCUAAAUUCCAGAGAUUCUGGUUACGGGUGUAGUCCUCCACUCGCGUAUCUCUGUGGAGUGUUCGCCGAGGACGUGUCUCCAAUCAUACGGAAUAACAAAUUUACUAGUAAUAAUAGGAUAAUCCUCCAUUCGCAUAUCUCUAUGGAAUGUUACCGAGGACAAGACAGUGUACGAAAUAUAUUGUUCAUGUGUUAUAAAGUCAUGCUUUUAACUGAUAAAAUGUGGAAACCAUUUGUGAAAUAUAUAAAACAUAACAGUUUAUAAAACCCAUUUCACAAAUAAAUGUUUAAGUGAUCUGUGUAUUCUACUAGUUAUCAGUUGUGUAUAUCAAUAUUAAAAGCAUAUGAAAUGUGAAACACACACAUGAAAAUAAGUUUUGAGUACAAGAAAACCCUUGUACUUUGCUUGUGUUCCCCCCUGAAAACAGUGAAAAACAGUGAAAAAGGUAGGGGUAUGAACUCACCGGACUCGGAAACGUGUCGGUUUUGGAUACUAGACGUUGGUUCGGGGUUUGAUUACUCGCGAUGUCCCUAUGUAAAAUGAAAUAAUGUCCAUAUAUAUACAAUUAGGGAUACAUUCACUAAUCAUAUGGAACAUUACACUCCAACGAGGUUAAACACCUCAAAAUGAGCGUUUGGAGUGACCCGGGUGAUAUCUUCGGACGUGUAAUGGCACUAGGGACUUGGGACUUGAGUUUACUCUCCAUAAGUAAACAUUUAAAUGAGUUUACAACCACAAAACACACCCACACAUGAGUUUACGGCCGUAAACUCAUGUUGGUGUGAUUUUGAUGGUUUAAGGGCUUAAAUGGACAUGGGGAUUGCUAGAAUGGAUUAUCUAAAAUGCCUUGGAACACUUGGAAUGAAUUUACAUCAUUUAAAAGGGGAGUUUACGGCCACACUCUUAGAGUUUACGGCCGUAAACUCACCCAUGGCCAAGAAUGGUUAAUUUAAGCUAUAUAGGACAAUCACAUGUGAUUCUAACUAAUUUUCUAAGCAUUGUUAUGAAUUUAGGUUACCAUUUAACAAACUUUUAGGAGUUUACGGCCUAGAGGCAUGUUCUAUGGCCGUAAACUCUCCUUAUGCUCUUGAAAAAUUAGUUUUUGAUGUUUAAAACACUCACAUGCAAUUCUAGAAAUUUUUCCAAGCUUUUAGGGUGGUUUAAGACAUCAUUAGCCACACUUAUAGGAGUUUACGGCCUAGGAGGAGUUCUUUGGCCGUAAACUCACUUAUGUAGGGUAUAUGUUGUGUUUAAGGUCUCCAAAUCAUUUUUAGAUGAAUCUAGGAUUUACCACAAGGCCAUUGGUUGAGUUUCAAAGCAUUUGGACAUGUUUAAAGGCACUAAAUCCCCAUUAAAGAGGAGUUUACGGCCCAAGAACAUACCUUGGCCGUAAACUCUCUUUUGUCCCUCAUAAUUCAUGUUUUAAUUGAUUUAAGUCUAGAUUUGCAAGCCUUAUAGUCAUAUCUAAGUCCCAACUUUGAUUUGGAAGGGUAAUUUGGCUUAAAAACCCCAUUUAAUGGAGUUUACGGCCCAAGCUUGCUCCUUGGCCGUAAACUCAUGUUCUUGGUCCCAAAACUCAAUUAAUUCAUCAAUUUGAAGGCUAAAGAUGUUGAAUAACAUGCUAGGGAGGUUACCUUAAAGAUUUGAAGCCUUAAACUUGAGAUUUGGACCUUAAUUCUAGCUUGAGGAGAGAGGUUGUGAGAGUUUAAUGAGAAAUUGGCCAAAGGCUUCAAAUGAAGUCUUAAAACACUUUAUAUAGUGUUCGGGAAUUGGACACGACGGAAUUCUACCCGAUACCGACGUUAAGUGGGGCUUUUGGUCAUACCCGACCAAAUUGUCGUGACUCGAUAUGGUCGAUUCUAUAAUUAUUCCGAUCACUAAAGUGGGGUGUUAAAAUGAUUUCUAAAUGUAUUAAGACACCCAUUAAGUCAUUUUAGGUCGAUAUAAACUAAUGACUUAAUAAAAUGGCGAAAUUGGAAACGAAUUUGAAAAUGACGUUUGGUUGAUCAGAUUGGAUUACAAGUUGUGGUACAAGAAGUGAUAUGAAAUUUCGGGUUGUUACAUUAUCCCCCCGUUAGAGGGAAUUUCGUCCCGAAAUUCAAGACAAGAAAUAAGAUAAAAUACAAAUAAUGAAUCUAGAAAGAGUUGUGGAUACUUCUGUUUCAUCGAGUAUUCUCGCUCCCAAGUGAACUCCGGUCCCCGCUUGGCAUUCCAGCGAACCUUCACCAACGGGAUGCGACUUGGUUUCGUACGUUUGACUUCUUGAUCCAUGAUUUCGAUCGGUUCCUCCACGAAGUUGAGGUUUUCAUCGAUCUCAAUCUCGUCUAACGGAAUCACUAGGGUUUCAUCGGAUAGGCACUUCUUGAGGUUUGAAACAUGAAAGACGGGAUGGAUGUUACUAAGUUCGUGAGGUAGAUGAAGCUUAUAGGCUACCGGACCAACUCUGGCGAUGAUUUCAAAAGGUCCAAUGUACCUCGGAUUAAGUUUCCCACGUUUACCGAAGCGUACAGUGCCUUUCCAGGGCGAGACCUUCAACAGAACACGGUCUCCAACCUGGAAUUCUAGUGGUUUCCGACGAUUAUCAGCGUAACUCUUCUGGCGAUCGCGCGAGGCCUUUAGUCGUUCACGGAUUUGGAUAAUCUUCUCAGUGGUUUCACGGAUGAUCUCAGGACCAGUAAGAGCACUGUCGGGGACUCGACUCUUGGCUAACUGUGUAUCUCCCACCUCGGCCCAGCACAGAGGGGAUCUGCACUUUCGACCGUAUAGGGCUUCGAACGGGGCAGCCCUAAUGCUGGUGUGGUAACUGUUGUUGUACGAGAAUUCGAUCAAAGGUAGAUGUGCGUCCCACGACUUUCCAAAGUCAAUGACACAUGCCCUAAGCAUGUCCUCCAGGGUUUGGAUUGUUCUCUCACUUUGUCCGUCGGUCUGAGGAUGAUAUGCCGUGCUCAUGUCUAGUUGGGUUCCAAGGGCUUUCUGGAGAGACUGCCAAAAUCGGGAAGUAAACCUGCUAUCUCGAUCAGAGAUAAUGGAUGCAGGUACACCGUGCAGUCGGACUACCUCCUGAAUAUAAAUCCGCGCGAGUCUUUCUAUCUUGUAUGAUUCUUUGAUUGGAACGAAGUGAGCUGAUUUUGUCAAACGAUCGAUAAUCACCCAAAUGGUAUCAUACCCACUCGAACACUUGAGUAGUUUGGUGAUGAAAUCCAUGGUGAUCAUCUCCCAUUUCCAUUCAGGUAUCUCAGGUUGCUGGAGCAGACCCGAGGGUUUCUGGUGUUCAACUUUUACCUUGGCGCAAGUCAGACACUUGCCCACAAAUGAAGCUAUCUCAGCCUUCAUAUUUGGCCACCAAUAUUGUUUCUUGAGAUCUAAGUACAUCUUGUCAGAGCCCGGGUGAACAGAGUAUCUGGUUCUGUGUGCUUCCUCCAUGACUAACUCUCUGAAUCCUCCGGACUUGGGAAUCCAGAUCCGAUCCAUGAAACAAUGGACUCCGUCACCUCUGAUCUCAAGUUUCUUUUCCAUUCCUCUCAAGGCUUCAGUUGACAUGUUCUCGGGUUUGAGGGCUUCUAACUGAGCUUCUCGGAUUUGCAUGGGUAGAUUGGAAUGGAUGGUCAUCGACUGGCUCUUCACCUUGUGGCCUGUACUCUCCUUUCGGCUAAGGGCAUCUGCUACCACAUUGGCCUUGCCGGGAUGGUAACGGAUUUCACACUCAUAAUCACUGAGUAGUUCUACCCAUCGCCUUUGUCUCAUGUUCAAGUCUUUUUGGUCGAAGAUAUGUUGCAGGCUCUUAUGGUCGGUGAAGAUCGUGCACUUGGUUCCGUAAAGGUAAUGCCUCCAAAUCUUCAAUGCAAAAACUACGGCUCCUAGCUCCAAGUCGUGUGUGGUAUAGUUGACCUCGUGUGCUUUCAACUGUCUAGAGGCAUAAGCAAUUACUUUUCCUCUCUGCAUAAGCACACAGCCUAAACCUUGAGUAGACGCAUCGCAGUAGACAACAAAGUCCUCUGUCCCUUCGGGUAGGGACAGGACAGGCGCGCUGCACAAAGCUUUCUUCAGCGUCUGAAAUGCGGUUUGUUGUUUAUCACCCCAACAAAAGGGUACACCUUUCUGUGUUAGAGUGGUUAGAGGUUUGGCGAUUCUGGAAAGGUUUUGGAUGAAUCUUCGAUAAUAGACAGCAAGACCCAAGAAUUGCCGGAAUUCUGUGGGUGUCUUCGGUGAUGACCAAUUCUCUAUUGCCUUAAUCUUGGAAGGAUCGACAUGAAUACCCUCCUCACUCACCACGUGACCAAGGAAAGUUACCUUCCGUAUCCAGAACUCGCAUUUUGAAAACUUCGCGUAUAACUUCUCGGAUCGCAGGGUCUCCAACACUAGCCUCAAGUGUUGUUUGUGGUCUUCUUCACUUCGGGAAUAGACGAGUAUGUCAUCGAUGAAUACUAUGACAAACUUAUCCAAAUAAGGACGACACACCCGGUUCAUCAGAUCCAUGAACACUGCCGGUGCGUUGGUUAAACCAAAGGGCAUCACUACGAACUCGUAGUGUCCAUAUCGAGUCCUGAAAGCUGUUUUGGGCACAUCACUUUCAUGAACUCGCAACUGAUGGUACCCUGACCGAAGGUCUAUCUUAGAGAAGUAACUGGCUCCCUGGAGUUGAUCGAAAAGGUCAUCUAUUCGCGGAAGAGGAUAUCGGUUUUUGACAGUCAACUUAUUCAGCUCGCGAUAAUUGAUACACAUACGAAAGGAUCCAAUCUUCUUCUUGACAAACAAAACCGGAGCUCCCCAGGGUGAGGAACUCGGUCUAAUGAAUCCUUUGCUAAGCAACUCGUUAAGUUGACUGGAUAACUCCUGCAUCUCUGCUGGAGCUAAGCGAUACGGAGACUUCGCUACAGGAGUAGCCCCAGGAAUUAGGUCAAUACGGAACUCGACCUGACGCUCGGGAGGGAUUCCUGGAAGCUCUUCGGGAAACACAUCAGGAAAAUUGCAGACCUCGGGGAUGCUCGCGAGGUUUUUAACUUCUUGAUUCUCGUUGAUUACAUGGGCCAAGAAUGCAACACACUCCUUUCGCAGGAGUUUCUGAGCUUUGAUGCAGGAAAUGAUACGAAGGUUGGAACCGAGUUUAUCGCCAUAGAUCACUAGGGUUUGACCCGAAGGAAGGUUGAGAUGGAUGGCUUUUUCGAAGCAAAGGAUAUUUGCAAGAUUGGGACUCAACCAAUCCAUGCCAAUGAUGACAUCAAAGCUUUUUAUGGAUAUUGGCAUAAGAUCGAUAGGAAAUGAAUGGUCGUUCAGGGUAAGUGUGCAAUCUACGAAUAGCUCACUCGCACUUUCUUUCUCUCCGUUUGCCAUCUCGACGGUAAAUAUUUCGGUUAAAGGUUGGGAAUCAUGUUUUAGGUUAUGUUUGAAUGCAUGACUAAUAAAACUUCUUUCAGCACCCGAAUCGAAAAGAAUAUUAGCAUACGAGUUGUCGAGAAGAAACGUACCCGAGACAACAUUGGGAUCGGCGACUGCUUCUUCCCGUCCCAUAGCAAGGACCCUUCCGGUGUUGCCAGCAGUAGUCUUCUUGGGGCAGUUCCUUUUAAAGUGCCCGGCUUCACCACAGUUAUAACAGGCUUGACCAACGCCUGUUCCAGAGGAUUGAUUUGCUGAUUGGGUCGGAGCUUUACAGUAUCGAACGGUGUGCCCCUUCUUACCACAAUUUGUACAGGAUAGUUCUCGACAGGGACCAGGGUUGUGGUGAUACUUGCAUUUUUCACAAUGAGGGAGAUUACCAACAUACCGGCUGGUAGGAGUUGGAGCUGUGGAUCCCACAACAGAGGCAGCAACAACGGGGGUAGUAGCAGCAUGAACUGCUACUGUUUGUUGUCUUUUGGAGGAGCCUUGGGAAGAUUGACCCUUCUUCUUCUUCCAGAAUUUCCUUUUCUCACCACUGCUUUUGGUCGACUCAGGGGUAGCAGUGGUGGCUUCCUCAACAUCAUCACUGUGGUGAAUUAUAGCUUGGGCUAGAGUCUUAGCACUAUCAUAAGUAUCUGGGCGAGCAGCUAAGACAUGACCUUUUGUCGGAUUGGUUAGCCCCCAAAUAAACCUCUCGAUCUUUUUGCUUUCAGGGGUGACUAGACCAGGGCAAAGAAGGGCAAGAUCAUCAAAUCGGGAAGUGUAGGCAGCAAUGUCGGAACCUUUCAUCUUCAGGUUCUAGAGCUCGUGCUCUAGCUUCUGCAUUUCGCCUCUGGGACAAUAUUCAGCAAGGAGGAGUUCUUUCAUAGUCUCCCAGCCCAUGGCAUUGGCUACAGGGAGAGUUAAGGAUUUGACUCGGCCAUUCCACCAAGUCAAUGCUUUAUCAAGGAAGGUACAAGCUGCGAACUUGACCUUAUCGGACUCAUCACAGGCACAGAUUUCGAAGAUGGAUUCGAUUCUCUCGAACCAUCGGGAUAAGGAAAUGACACCACCAGUGCCAUUGAAGAAAGAAGGCUUCGCAUUCAUGAAGUCCUUAUAGGAACCCUCCUUACGGCGUUCCUGAUUACCAUCUUGAUUUUGAUUACUACCUCCUGAACCACCGGUAUUUAGCUGGGACAUGGCAGCUGCCACCGCGGCGGUAACAGCUGUUUGAAAUAACACGGGAUCGAUUUCAGGAGGAGGUGGUGGAGGGUUGUUGGAGUUGGGUCUCUUCCUGGGAGGCAUCUUGAUCUAAUAAGAUCAAUAAAGAGAGAGGAUGAUAAGUCCUCUGAAUCGAGAGAUAUGACAGGUAUUAAUUCCAAUUAAGCGGUAAAGCAGGAAAGAGUUAUUGAAGCAAGUAAACUAUCGCUAACGGAAUGAUCGGGGGUCUAUACAUGUACGAUGAUUCGAGAAAUACUCCCAUAGUAUUUCAUGGUUUGCUACGAUACUGGCUCGAUGUUUGUGGUAUUAGGGUAAGUUUUAGGCAUGCCGCAUACCACAAUCACUCCCAAGCACAUGUUGGCCGUGUCUCGAAUGAAUAUAGUUGGCCAGGCUAUAUUGACCCUAGACACGACUACAUAACUGCCCAGGUUUAACUGCAAUACACAACACCCAUUUACUUAUGUUUUGUUCUACUUAUAGAUACGAAUCUCGACGGUUCGGUAUACUUGUAUAUUUUUGAAAAUACUUGUAGUCUGAAGAUACUUUUAUUUCAGAGCACUUAGGCCCUUUAGUGUUUAUAGUUUUAUACCAUGUAAGGUUUGGUAUACUUUAUUCACUAUAAACAAGGGCUCUGAUACCAAUCUGUCACACCCCGAAAACCGAAGGCGGAAACAUUUCCGGGGUUGACUCCACGUUGAGUAUCAAAUCCAAUGUACAUAGUAAGUAAAGUGAAACAAACAUUACAUUACAUAUUAAAAGUUUUACAAUUUGUUUCAAAAGACACAGUUUAUACAGUUGUGAUACAUAUUAUAGAUAUAAACAAAAUGAACGAGCCUUGCACGCACACGAUCCUGAACCAAGUAAGUCUUCGGGUACCUGUACUAUCGUUGACCUGAGAACACAAGCAGUUUGAAAAUCAGCAUGAUGCUGGUGAGUUCAUAAGUAGUUUUGUUUUGUGAAAAUGUUUAUGUUUCCUUUCUGUUUCUGAAAAUGUAACACACGCCAAGAAAAUCCCAUAUUUUCUUAAAAGUUGGUUGUUGUAUCACAAAAGUAAAGUAUAGUUUGAUUAUCCACUUCAUUGUUCUAUUCCUUUUAUGUACCAGUGUAUUCCCAGGAAAGUCCCAUACUUUCCUGAAUUGUUAGUUAUUGUAAAAUAUGUAAUGUUAUUCAGUUGGUUACACUUUUCUGGUUAUGUAUAGGUUACCCAGGAAUGCCCCAUGCUUUCCUAUAUGUUGGUUUUCAAUGUGAAAGAUGUAUUCUGUUAAACCUGGUUAUGUACAAAGUUUCCCCAGGAAGGUCCCAUACCUUCCUGAAUGUUGGUUAUCAUAUGUAAAAGAUGUAAAAGAUGUGAAAGAUGUAAACUGAAUCCUGGUUAUCUGUAAAAUGUAGUAAGUGGUUCAUU